rnacentral:rRNA from 1 species
UACAGAGACUGCAAGCGUUAUUCGGAUUCACUGGGCGUAAAGGGUGCGCAGGCGGCCAGGUGUGUGAGGCGUGAAAGCCUGGGGCUUAACUCCAGAAUUGCACCUCAAACUACAUGGCUAGAGCAUUGGAGAGGGUAGCAGAAUUCACGGUGUAGCAGUGAAAUGCGUAGAUAUCGUGAGGAAUACCAGAGGCGAAGGCGGCUACCUGGACAAUUGCUGACGCUCAGGCACGAAAGCGUGGGGAGCAAAAGGG